AUUGAACGCUGGCGGCAGGCCUAACACAUGCAAGUCGGGCGGAUGAAGGGAGCUUGCUCCUGGAUUCAGCGACGGACGGGUGAGUAAUGCCUAGGAAUCUGCCUGGUAGUGGGGGAUAACGUCCGGAAACGGGCGCUAAUACCGCAUACGUCCUGAGGGAGAAAGUGGGGGAUCUUCGGACCUCACGCUAUCAGAUGAGCCUAGGUCGGAUUAGCUAGUUGGUGGGGUAAAGGCCUACCAAGGCGACGAUCCGUAACUGGUCUGAGAGGAUGAUCAGUCACACUGGAACUGAGACACGGUCCAGACUCCUACGGGAGGCAGCAGUGGGGAAUAUUGGACAAUGGGCGAAAGCCUGAUCCAGCCAUGCCGCGUGUGUGAAGAAGGUCUUCGGAUUGUAAAGCACUUUAAGUUGGGAGGAAGGGCAGUAAGUUAAUACCUUGCUGUUUUGACGUUACCAACAGAAUAAGCACCGGCUAACUUCGUG
rnacentral:rRNA from 1 species